AGCCGGACUUGGGGGUGGAUCGCUGGCAGUGGACACAGAUAUAUCGUACAAAUCUACCAGGCGACCUGCUCGCCAGAGUACUAAGCGAUAAAUAUGGUGCCUGCAGAACCAGGACUUCUUGCUGCUGCGCUGUGUGUUCUGAUAGCAGUUCAAACCGCAGCCGGAUCUGGCGUGCCAGACAACAAAGGGACCGAAUUCGUCCUCGUUUUCAUUCAGCAGCACAAAGCUCUGCUGACGAAUGGGAGGAACUCGCUGUACGUUACCAGCGAUGAAGCAACUAAUGUGACGAUCGAAAUACCUAGC